UACGGGGGGGGCAAGCGUUGUUCGGAAUUACUGGGCGUAAAGGGCUCGUAGGUGGCCAACUAAGUCAGACGUGAAAUCCCUCGGCUUAACCGGGGAACUGCGUCUGAUACUGGAUGGCUUGAGUUCGGGAGAGGGAUGCGGAAUUCCAGGUGUAGCAGUGAAAUUCGUAGAUAUUGGGAAGAACACCGGUGGCGAAGGCGGCUCACUGGCUCGUAUCUGACGCUCAGGCGCGACAGCGUGGGGAUCAAACAGG
rnacentral:rRNA from 1 species